rnacentral:miRNA from 1 species
CUCUGUGUCAUUUUACACAGCGUGGGAAAGUUCUUUGCAAUUUUCCCACACUGUGUAAAAUGACAAAGAG